rnacentral:rRNA from 1 species
AGUGAACGCUGGCGGUAGGCCUAACACAUGCAAGUAGAACGGCAGCACAGUAAGCGCUUGCUCUUACGGGUGGCGAGUGGCGGACGGGUGAGGAAUACAUCGGAAUCUACUUUUUCGUGGGGGAUAACGUAGGGAAACUUACGCUAAUACCGCAUACGACCUACGGGUGAAAGCAGGGGAUCUUCGGACCUUGCGCGAUUGAAUGAGCCGAUGUCGGUUUAGUUAGUUGGCGGGGUAAAGGCCCACCAAGGCGACGAUCCGUAGCUGGUCGGAGAGGAGGGCCAGCCACACUGGAACGGAGACACGGUCCAGACUCCUACGGGAGGAAGAGGUGGGGAAUAUUGGACAUUGGGCGCAGGCCUGACCCAGCCAUACCGCGUGGGUGAAGAAGGCCUUCGGGUUGUAAAGCCCUUUUGUUGGGAAGGAAAAGCAGCAGGUUAAUACGCCGCUGUUCUGACGGUACCCAAAGAAUAAGCACCGGCUAACUUCGUG